ensembl:lncRNA
GUUUUGGGGAAAGUUUGGGAGUUUUGGGGUAUUUGCUGACCCAGGGUUUUUUGGGGUGAUUUUGGGGUUUUUGGGGUAUUCACUGACCCAGGGUUAUUUUGGGGCACUUUUGGGGUUUUUUUGGUAUUUACUGACUGAGGGUUGUUUUGGGGUGGCUUUGGGGUUUUGGGAUAUUUGCUGACCCUGGGAUUGGUUUCUUUGGGGCAAUUUGGGGUUUUUUUGGAGGCAUUUGCUGACCCUGGAGAAUUUUUGGGGUGGUUUUGAGGUUUUGGGGUAUUCACUGACACUGGGGCUUUUGUUUGGGCUGGUUUUGGCAUUUUUGGGUAUUUGCUGACUAAGGUGUUUUUUGGGGUGGUUUUGGGAUUUUGGGGGUGUUCACUGACCCUGGGUUGUUUUGGGGUGAUUUUUGUGGGUUUUGGGAUAUUUGCUGACCCAGCGUUUUUUUUGCAUGGGGGUUCUCGCCCCCAGCUCAGUUCGAGUUCCUCCCAUUGGUCAUUGGUGGCAUCGUGGGUGUGGCCUUGCUGCUCCUGGGGUUCCUAUUGGCUGCUUGGCUGUGCCGGAGGAAGAGGGGAGGUUCCCGCUGGCGGGGACUGAGCCCCGGCGACGACACCGGCACCAUCCCCAUGGGGGACUACGAGGCGGCCGCCUGAGCUGGGCCACGCCCACCAAGAUGGCCGCCGUGCACCCAGACCGCGCCCCCAAGAUGGCCAACGAGUCACAGACUGCCCUUCCAAACGAUGCUGAGACCAUGCCCCCAAGAUGGCCAACAACUCAUGGACCACGCCCCCAAAUUAUUCCGAAAUCCCCACCUUAAAAUGGCCGACAGCUCACAGGCCACGCCCCCAAAUCAUGCUGUGGCUACACCUCCAAGAUGGCCGACAACCACAAACCACGCCCCAAUAUCCUGUGACCACGCCCCAAAACGGCCGACAAGUUCCAGACCACGCCCUUGAAUGAUUCUGAGACCACGCCCCAAAAUGGCCGACAAGUCACAGACCACGCCCCAAAAUGGCCGAUGCCUCUCAGACCAUGCCCCCAAAAUGGCUGACAAGUCACAGACCACACCCCAAAAUGGCUGACACCUCCAAGACCACACCCCAAAAUGGCCGACACCUCUCAGGCCACGCCCCCAAAAUGGCUGACAAAAUAAAGCCACACCCCAAGAUGGCGGCUGAGCCCCC